rnacentral:rRNA from 1 species
AUUGAACGCUGGCGGCGUGCCUAACACAUGCAAGUCGAGCGGUAACAGGUGUAGCAAUACAUGCUGACGAGCGGCGGACGGGUGAGUAACGCUUGGGGAAUCUGCCUAUUAGUGGGGGACAACCCGGGGGAAACUCGGGCUAAUACCGCAUACGCUCUACGGAGGAAAGCCGGGGACCGCAAGGCCUGGCGCUAAUAGAUGAGCCCAAGUCGGAUUAGCUAGUUGGUAGGGUAAUGGCCUACCAAGGCGACGAUCCGUAACUGGUCUGAGAGGACGACCAGUCACACCGGAACUGAGACACGGUCCGGACUCCUACGGGAGGCAGCAGGUGGGGGAUAGUUGGACAAGUGGGACGAAAGCCUGAUCCAGCGACGCCGCGUGGGUGAAGAAGGCC